GACGAACGCUGGCGGCGUGCUUAACACAUGCAAGUCGAACGGAAAGGCCCUGCUUUUGUUGGUUGCUCGUUUGGCGAACGGGUGAGUAACACGUGAGUAUCCUGCCCUUGUCUUUGGGAUAACUUCAGGAAACUGGGGCUCAUACCGGAUAUGAUCUCCUGCUGCAUGUUGGGGGUUGGAAAGUUUCGGCGGUUGUGGAUGGACUCGCGGCUUAUCAGCUUGUUGGUGGGGUAGUGGCUUACCAAGGCUUUGACGGAUAGCCGGCCUGAGAGGGUGAACGGCGACAAUAGGACUGAGAGACGGAGCAGAAUGGAACGGGAGGCAGCAGGGGAGAGUAUUGCGGAAUGGGGGGGAGUCUGAUACAGAAACGCCGCGUGCGGGAUGACGGCCUUCGGGUGGAAAACCGAUGUCGCAGGAGACGAAGAGGGAGUGACGGUAAUGGGUAAGGAAGCAACGGCUAACUACGUG
rnacentral:rRNA from 1 species